AGCGAACGCUGGCGGCAGGCCUAACACAUGCAAGUCGAACGAACUCUUCGGAGUUAGUGGCGGACGGGUGGGUAACACGUGGGAACGUGCCUUUUGGUUCGGAAUAACUCAGGGAAACUUGUGCUAAUACCGAAUGUGCCCUUCGGGGGAAAGAUUUAUCGCCAUUAGAGCGGCCCGCGUCUGAUUAGCUAGUUGGUGAGGUAACGGCUCACCAAGGCGACGAUCAGUAGCUGGUCUGAGAGGAUGACCCGCCACACUGGGACUGCGACCCGGCCCAGACUCCGACGGGAGGCAGCAGUGGGGAAUCUUGCGCAAUGGGCGAAAGCCUGACGCAGCCAUGCCGCGUGAAUGAUGAAGGUCUUAGGAUUGUAAAAUUCUUUCACCGGGGACGAUAAUGACGGUACCCGGAGAAGAAGCCCCGGCUAACUUCGUG
rnacentral:rRNA from 1 species